AUUCAGAUUCCAUUUUAUCUUUCUAGUCUACCUUCCAACACCUCCACUGUGAAUGUCUGAGCACAUUAGCUCAGAGUGAGCAUAUUUGUGUCAUGGGGAAGGAUAUCUGUCCUUUCAAGGACAGUUACUGAAAAUAUUUCCUGCUAAAACAUUGACCAAUACUACUUAACUUUAAUUUAGUAGAGUAGCACUCUCUAUUUGUAUAGAAGCUGGGCACAAGGAUUUGAUGACUUUUCAGCCCAGUUUGGCUAAGUCUCAGGAUUUUACAGUGACAUUCCCAGUGUCAGCAGUGGCUUCAUCAACAGUUACGUAAAAUGUGAAGAUGCCACCAGGAAGUCCUGUUUCACACUUUAGAAAACGAAUGAUUCCCAGAAUAUCACACUAUAAGCAUUGGACAACCUAGAGAUUUUGUGAAAAAUGAACACUCUUAAGGAAGAAGGAUUUUUUGCAUCUGUUUCAGAUUCUUAUGCUCAGCAU
rnacentral:lncRNA from 10 species